rnacentral:rRNA from 24 species
ACGACCAUACCUACCAGAAAAUACGGGAUCCCGUCCGCUCUCCCAUAGUCAAGCUGGUAAGGGGCGGAUUAGUAGUUGGGUCGGUGACGACCAGCGAAUCCCCGCUGUUGUAUGUU